UCAGGGACCUUUUGAUUGUAAUGGUUUUGAUUAAUCCACAGCAACAAAAGGCCUGGAAUAUUUAGAAAUGCUUUGUGGCGUUUUCAAAUUCUGACAGGUGUUGUGAUGAUUUAAAACUGAAAAAAGGAAAAAAAAGGACAUCAAGAAUGUAACUUCAUUCUCUUUCUAGAAACUCUCCUUCUCCUCACCUUGGCACAAUGUUAUAGAACCUGUUAUCACAGUGCCUUGCAAAGUUAUUAGUACCACGUUUUCACAUUUUGUCAAGUUGCAACUUAAAUAUUACUGUAUUUUUGAGGGUAUUUUAUGAGAUAGACCAACAGCAGUGGAAGAAAAAUGAUACAGAAUUUAAUUUUUUUUACAAAUUCAAUCUAAAAAGUAUGGCAAGCAUUGGUAUUCACCCCUGUUACUUUGAUGCCCUCAAAUAAAAUCUAGUGCAAUCAGUUUGUUUUUUUGAAGUCAUCUACUUUGUAAAUAGAGUCCACCAGCAGCUGUUGCUUGAAGGCCUAGCUGGUUUGUUUAAGAACAGGAUCAUCCUGAAAAUCAAAAAACUCAGAAAUAAAGUUGUGGACAAGGUAAUGUUAUGAAACAAUAUCCCUCCUUUAAACAUUGCAUUUUACAAAAAAUGGAAUGUGCAUAACUGCAAACCUGCCAUUACAUGGUCAUCCAACUGAAUUGACUGAGGAGCAGCUAAGAUGUCUGCAGGAGCUGGAGAGAUCCAUGGUCAGGCAAGAAUGGAGGAAUUUCAGUAUCGAUGGUAUGGACGCUCCAGCGCAGCACAGUCAUAGAUUGUGAACACCAGUCUAUGAUUUACCUCGAUUACCACAAAGCCCACUUUUCCACACCAUGCCCCAGUCAGCGCAGACAGGUCACCUCUGUCUUUUAAAGGACUUCGCCUGCAGACCUAGAUGUGUGCGACUUUCCUGAUCAUGUGUGAUUUGACACAGUCAUCUCUCAUCUCAUCUCCCAUCCAGAAGACGAGUACACCUCCUGAUGCUGCCACAAGCCCAAUAAGGGAUUGGCCUGGUUUUGACUCAUGCUUGUCACUUUUCAUAGCAUGCUGAGAUGUUCAUUGUAUGAAGAUGGAUGACACACACACAGUAUGCUUUGGCUUGACUGAACAGCAAUAAGGAAAAAAUGUGCAGUCUGCCUUGUCAGCAUAUCUUUCAUCCCUCACUCCCACCACUGAGCCAUUCUUUCUCUGACCUUGGACCACUGAAUUAACAGGGGACCCAGAUGAGCGUGCAUUCAUUUUAAUGGAUGGAUGUGUUUUACACUUUGUAGUUAAUGGCAGCACAAGUUAAGAGAUGAUGGUGGGCUACACUAACAGCCCGAAACUUUGCAAAUUAUGAUGCAGCAAAGCAAAGUUCUGGCUUCAAAGGCGUACAAAUUAAGCAUAAUGAUGCAAAAAUACUCAUACCCCUUGAUAUUUUACACAUUUUUUCAAAACCAUAAUCUUGCAUUUUAUUGGGAUUCUAUGUUAUUAGCAAACAUGUAUAAUAAGUCGGAGGAGACCGAAACUGAACUUUUUUGCUCAUGUGCAAUAUUUUAUGUGUGGUAGAAAACUAAAGCAGCUUUCAAACAUCUUGCCAUGGAUGGUGUUCUGUUUAAAAAAUAUGGGAUGCGGUACUUUUGC